rnacentral:rRNA from 1 species
UGAGGAAUUUUGCGCAAUGGCCGCAAGGCUGACGCAGCAACGCCGCGUGGGUGAAGAAGGCCUUCGGGUCGUAAAGCCCUGUCAGGUGGGAAGAAAAGCUUGGAUUCGAAUAGGGUUUGAGUUUGACGGUACCACCAGAGGAAGCACCGGCUAACUCCGUGCCAGCAGCCGCGGUAAUACGGAGGGUGCGAGCGUUAUUCGGAAUUACUGGGCGUAAAGCGCGUGCAGGCGGGAAGACAAGUCUGAUGUGAAAGCCCUGGGCUUAACCUGGGAAGUGCAUUGGAAACUGUUUUUCUUGAGUACUGGAGAGGAAGGGAGAAUUCCCGGUGUAGAGGUGAAAUUCGUAGAGAUCGGGAGGAACACCAGUGGCGAAGGCGCCCUUCUGGACGGUAACUGACGCUGAGACGCGAAAGCGUGGGGAGCAAACAGG